GUAGGUGGCAAGCGUUGUCCGGAAUUAUUGGGCGUAAAGCGCGCGCAGGCGGUCCUUUAAGUCUGAUGUGAAAGCCCACGGCUCAACCGUGGAGGGUCAUUGGAAACUGGGGGACUUGAGUACAGAAGAGGAAAGCGGAAUUCCAAGUGUAGCGGUGAAAUGCGUAGAGAUUUGGAGGAACACCAGUGGCGAAGGCGGCUUUUCUGGUCUGUAACUGACGCUGAGGCGCGAAAGCGUGGGGAGCAAACAGGGAUUAGAUACCCUGGUAGUCCACGCCGUAAACGAUGAGUGCUAAGUGUUAGGGGGUUUCCGCCCCCUUAGUGCUGCAGCUAACGCAUUAAGCACUCCGCCUGGGGAGUACGCCGCAAGGCUG
rnacentral:rRNA from 1 species